rnacentral:rRNA from 1 species
GGUAACGGCUCACCAAGGCGACGAUCCCUAGCUGGUCUGAGAGGAUGACCAGCCACACUGGAACUGAGACACGGUCCAGACUCCUACGGGAGGCAGCAUG